rnacentral:rRNA from 1 species
GGCGGCAUGCCUAAUACAUGCAAGUCGAGCGAAUGACGAAGAAGCUUGCUUCUUCUGAUUUAGCGGCGGACGGGUGAGUAACACGUGGGCAACCUGCCCUGUAGAUUGGGAUAACUCCGGGAAACCGGGGCUAAUACCAAAUAAUCCAUUUCCUCACAUGUGGAAAUGUUAAAAGACGGUUUCGGCUGUCACUACAGGAUGGGCCCGCGGCGCAUUAGCUAGUUGGUAGGGUAACGGCCUACCAAGGCGACGAUGCGUAGCCGACCUGAGAGGGUGAUCGGCCACACUGGGACUGAGACACGGCCCAGACUCCUACGGGAGGCAGCAGUAGGGAAUCUUCCACAAUGGACGAAAGUCUGAUGGAGCAAUGCCGCGUGAGUGAAGAAGGUUUUCGGAUCGUAAAACUCUGUUGUAAGGGAAGAACAAGUACGAGAGUAACUGCUCGUACCUUGACGGUACCUUAUUAGAAAGCCACGGCUAACUACGUGCCAGCAGCCGCGGUAAUACGUAGUGGCAAGCU